GGACCCCUAGCUCAGUCGUAGAGCGUGAGAUUCCAGAAAUGGUCUGUUUCCUCAAGGUCAUCCGUUCAAUCCGGGUGGGGUUCA